UACGUAGGGGGCAAGCGUUGUCCGGAUUUAUUGGGCGUAAAGAGCGUGUAGGCGGCUUUACAGGUCCGUUGUGAAAACUUGAGGCUCAACCUCGAGACGCCGGUGGAAACCGUAAAGCUAGAGUCCGGAAGAGGAGAGUGGAAUUCCUGGUGUAGCGGUGAAAUGCGCAGAUAUCAGGAAGAACACCCGUGGCGAAGGCGGCUCUCUGGGACGGUACUGACGCUGAGACGCGAAAGCGUGGGGAGCAAACAGG
rnacentral:rRNA from 1 species